UCAGUUAAUGAAUUUUACUUGAUUAACUACGUUGAGCAAAGAAUGAAAUUGAUUUAAUUCUACAGUACAUUGUGUUAGGGUAAAUAUUAGAAUCUAGAAACAAACAUUAGUUUGUUUGUUUGUUUUGGGGAGACGAAUUAUUAUAAACAUCAUUUAUCAUUCUUUUAACUAUAAUAAUUGUUUAAUAAAAAAAAAUAUAUGUUUGUACUUACUUUGUUAUUGUACAUUUCCAUUGCAACAUUUAAUAAUGUCAUGUUAUCAUGCUGUCAUACUACACUGCAACUAACGUACUGACCGAUUUGAUCGUCAAUUUUCUACGGAAUCGAUGAAUCGAAUGCAUAUGUUCAAAUCGCUCGCCUUGCCAAUGGCCUAAAAUUGCGAACCUGAAACUGAAAUAUCAAAAGAAGACUCAACUAAUACUUAAAAGGAAAUAGAAGGAAGAUUUCACUCAUACCUACCGAACGUAUGAUUAGCAUAACAUUUCAAAUAUAUAUAUCCCUUAUUAUAAUAACUCCCUAUUAGGAUUAGCCCGAUAUAAAAACAUAUUCUCUUUGGUUAUAAAAAUCCAAGAAAGGACAUUUUUGUUACUAAAUAUACUAAGGCAAAAAGCCUCAAUCAAAAAUUGCGAUCCCAAUUAUUCAGAAUGAUAAAUUUGAUUGGAUUUAUUUUUGGCUAUCAUGGUAAGGAUAUACUAGAGGUUUAAUCUAUUUGAACAUUUCUCAGAUUAA